AAAUACCCAGCCGGUAUGCACCUCCACGACGGCGCUUCCCGCAAGCAUGUCCUCGGAUUUAUUGUACCCUGGAUAAUCCUUCUUGUUCCAUAAGUGUUUAUCCUUGUGUUACCUACGGUUUACAACAAACAAUACAGUCAUGCGACUGUCGACUUUGGUAUGCACCUAGAGGAUGAAGUUUGCUGCAAAAAGAAGAAAAGCUAAAUGUAAUACUAGUGUCCA